UCACUGGACAGAUGUUCGCCGUCAAGUACAUCCUCCUACAAAGUUGCCUUCUUCGCACUAAUGUUUCAGAUUUGUAAAGUCCUCUCUGUUUCCACAAUCAGUUUGUUUCUAGGCCAUCUACCAGGGAAAUCAAUGUGAAGACUCCUAAAAUACCUGGAGAGUUAUCAACCCCGCGACACAACUGUACUGUUCCUGGUUGUUCACCUGGAGGACUUCAUGUCAAUCGAUCUUCGACAUAUCCCUCUCCUGUUGAUUUACAUAUGGCCCCUCAGAGUUUACCAAGUGAAGUCUAAUGUUCGGAGGUACCCCUUGCUGCCUUAAACCUUCCUGGCUGCAAAGCAUAACCCAGAAAAUGCUUCGAAUGGACUGGAAUCUUCAGAAUGCAGUACUCUUUUUCGAUGUAUAAGUCUGAACAUGAAACAAAAU